AAGCUGGAUUCGCUAGUAAUCGCGCAUCAGCCAUGGCGCGGUGAAUACGUUCCCGGGCCUUGUACACACCGCCCGUCAAGCCAUGAAAGUCGGGGGUGCUUGAAGUACGCUUACCGCAAGGGGCGUCCUAAGGCAAAACCGAUAAUUGGGGCUAAGUCGUAACAAGGUAGC
rnacentral:rRNA from 1 species